GUCCUUUGGCUCCGCGCUGCGCGUGACCUGCAGUCACCUGAGCAAGAGGGCGGCGUGGGUCGCUGCGGGAGCCCCUACAGCCCCAGCCCGCAGCCCACGUGGCACCCUACAGGGCUGUGAGAGUGGGGCUGCUGGAGGCGUUCAGAGCGCGGAGGCCCCAGGCGCGGGCCGGGCUCUCUCCCGCCUCCUCAGGCCCGGGGGUGCUGGAGCUGCCGAGGUGGGGGCUCAUCUUUGGGAGACAGCUCUGGCUUUCUGGAUCUGUGCUUCUCUGGUAGAGGAACCCUGAGGACUGAUCUACUCUUGCAGUUCUAAAACCAUGGCCCAUGCCUCGCUAUUCCCUGGGACACAACAAUAUUGAACGUAGGCUAGUUAAUAGCCCUACAAUCUCCUCUAAGUGUUCGAGUGAAAGGAAGAGUCACAUGUGUCUCACUUUAAACCAAAAGCUAGAAAUGAUUAAACUUAGUGAGGAAAGCAUGUUGAAAGUCCAGACAGGCUGGAAGCGAGGUCUCCUGUGCCAAACAGCAGGCCAAGUUGCACAUGCAAAGGAAAUGUUCUCGAAGCA
rnacentral:lncRNA from 1 species